AGGAGGAUAGACUCGGUGAGCUAUUGUGUUUGGUUUUGCGAAAAAAAAAAUUCUUAGGAAGAGCUUCGGAGGAUAAACCACAGUGUCUGAACUCGAGAAUGGCUUGGCAGGUACGGGACCGAAGGCGAGAAAAAAAAAUCAGAGCUCGAGACGUAAAGGCGAUUUCGAUCCGUCGUAGAUCGUGUUCUUCCGUGAUCUUCAAAGGUAAAUCAUAUUCUUCUGUGGUAGAUUUAAGGAUUAGAUUAGGUUCCUUGUUGUUCUCGUCUCCCUCUAUGCUUCAUUUUUCCGUUUGAAUCGUAGCUCGAUGCUUCGUUUUUCUGUGGUAGAUUUAAGGAUUAGAUUAGGUUCCUUGUUGUUCUCGUCUCCCUCUAUGCUUCCGGGUUUUCAAUUGCUUUGGGGAUCUUUUGGUUUGUAGUUAGGGUUUUCAGUUGCUUUGGGGAUCUUUUGGUUUGUAGUUAGGGUUUCAAUACGUUAUCGGUUUCAAUCGAUUUAGGGAUCUUCUUGUUUGUUCUUACGGUUUGGAAACACCAUUUUGUUUUCAAUCGAUUUCAACGUCGAUUUUUUUUCUUUUACUCGGGUUUAUAUGUGUUUGUUUUAUACAAAACGUAUCUGUAUGGUUUGGUGUUGCUUAUCUUGUUUUCUGUUUAGCUCGAAAACUCAUUACUCGAUCCCUCUGUUAGCUUUAUGUGUAGCUAGUAAACUGUUUAGUUGGU
rnacentral:lncRNA from 1 species